rnacentral:rRNA from 1 species
UUCUUAAAGAUAUAUUUUUAAGUACUGCCUGCUCAAUGCAACGUAAAUUGCCGCAGAAUUUUUAUACUGUGCUAAGGUAGCAUAAUCAUUAGCCUCUUAAUUAGAGACUAGAAUGAAUGGUAUAUCCUUUAAGUACUAUCUCAAAUUAAUUAUUAAAACUUAAAUUAAAUAUUAAAAUAUAUUUAUAAAAAAAUAAGACGACAAGACCCUGUCGAACUUUACUAAAGUUUAGCUGGGGCAGCUAAUUAAACAUAAUUUUAAUAUCCUUACCAAAAAUGACCCAAUAAUAUUGGUUAAUUGAUCAAGUUACCGUAGGGAUAACAGCAUAAUCCUAUUUAAAAGUUUUAUUAAAAAUAGAGUUUAUGACCUCGAUGUUGAAUUAUUUAUCUAUAGCACGCAGUAGUUCUAAAAGAAAGUCUGUUCGACCUUUAAAUUUUUACA